rnacentral:misc_RNA from 1 species
UUGAUUCGUUGCUUGUAGCUCAGACAACACCGUUAAAACGGGAGUUUUGAUGUAUCCUCCGGCGGGCGAACCCGCCGAGGCAACAUGAGUCAAUCGUCAAAGGUUUAGAAGUUCGCGGUUUGACCCGCGUUUACUUUCUGUAAUGAUCCUUCCGCAGGUUCACCUACGGAAA